CGGACGGGUGAGUAAUGUAUGGGGAUCUGCCUGAUGGCGGGGGAUAACUACUGGAAACGGUAGCUAAUACCGCAUAAUGUCUACGGACCAAAGCGGGGGACCUCCGGGCCUCGCGCCAUCAGAUGAACCCAUAUGGGAUUAGCUUGUAGGUAAGGUAACGGCUUACCUAGGCGACGAUCCCUAGCUGGCCUGAGAGGAUGAUCAGCCAUACUGGGACUGAGACACGGUCCAG
rnacentral:rRNA from 1 species